AUUGAACGCUGGCGGCAGGCCUAACACAUGCAAGUCGAACGAGUGGCGGACGGGUGAGUAAUGUCUGGGAAACUGCCUGAUGGAGGGGGAUAACUACUGGAAACGGUAGCUAAUACCGCAUACCAUCAGAUGUGCCCAGAUGGGAUUAGCUAGGUGGUGGGGUACCGGCUCCCCAGGGCGCCGAUCCCUAGCUGGUCUGCGAGGAUGACCAGCCAAACUGGAACUGAUGCACGGUCCAGACUACUACGGGAGGCAGAGGUGGGGAAUAUUGCACAAUGGGCGCAAGCCUGAUGCAGCCAUGACGCGUGUAUGAAGAAGGCCUUCGGGUUGUAAAGUACUUUCAGCGGGGAGGCGUUACCCGCAGAAGAAGCACCGGCUAACUCCGUGCCAGCAGCCGCGGUAAUAC
rnacentral:rRNA from 1 species